AGGUUGGAUAUGACGUCAAAAUUUUCUGCUCAUUUCUUGUUCCUGCGGUUUCGAACCCCGCCCCUCUCUGCCCAACUCUGCUCUGUAGAUCACGUGUUCCGACAUGUUUGGUUCUUAGGGUUGGACGUCAGUCUGUCUGCGGCAACGGGUUGGGCAAGGCAAGAACAGUGUUAAUGGGCAAACGUUGCUACAAAUCUGAUUAAAACCCUACUGGAAACAUGAUUUCAGAAAUGUCACAUCAGGUUAAUGCAAUGAUGGAAACACAAGUCACAGAUUUCACAUCAUGUACUGUACAGUGUGGUGAGCUGAAUAAGUCAUCUUUAUGAAUUGUCAUUAAUGUUCCUAUCACUCAUCAUUUGCAGGGAACAUCUGUGUUAAUGGGUCUUCAUUGCUGCUACGCAGGAUAAAAUACAUAUGAAAAAAGCAUUUGGAAAUUUUUGAUUCAGGGGCGACACCACUGUUGAUGAACCUACAAUUCUCCCACUCAGGGUAGUACAAUCCUCAAAAAAUAAAUGCAGCGAUUUCACGUCAGGCAACAUCAGUGUGGAUGAGCCUUCAUUUCUCAAAGUCAGGUUAACACAGUGUUGGAGGCAUGAAUUUGGAGAUUUCGUGUGAGGCAACAUCAGUGUGGAUGAGCCUUCGUUCCUUCCAGUUAUGUUAAUACAAUAUUUGGAACAUGAAUUUGAUAGAUAUCACAUUAGGUUUUAUACAAUGUGGUAGAAGGCAGGUUUAUUUUCAGACGUGCAGAGUAUUGCAGAUCCAUCGGAUGAGAGCUCAGACAGUCAGGAACCAGCCAGUGGUCAAAAGUAGCUCAGGUGUGACAAAUAAUCUUCUGUCUUCCAAUUAGUCUAUUGGUCCAAUGAACUCAACUGCAAAUGUAAUUGAAGUGAGGCAGAAUGUGCAGGGGGUGAGACAGCCAUAGUUUUUACGAGAUGUAGAAAAGGAAAUAUAUUGAGCUUUAGUGGAAAAUAGAAAAGUUAUGAAGAAUUCAAAUGCUCAUAGGAAGGAGUAGGAGCAUGCAUUUGAUGAGAGAGUACCAGAAAUUAGUGGCGCUUCAUUCAUUCCAUUCAUUUCUUGUAUAUUCCAUAAAUCCAUAUACAUAGAUAUAGAACCAGUCACAUAGUUAAUAUAGUAAAAUACAAAUAUAA